UAGGUUAAUGAAUGUCAAAAUCCAAAUAUAAACACAGACUUGGACCAAAUUGUUGUACUUACAAGGAAAACUGUAGAAAAUAAGAGGCCAAGAAAAGUUAUAAUGCUUGUAUUUUAUGUUUGUUAUUUGGUCGUUCUUUCUUGCUAUUUAAAGGCAAAUUUCCAUGUGACUUAUCUACCGUCAAAGGUAAAUAAAGCCAAACACACACACAUG
rnacentral:lncRNA from 1 species